rnacentral:miRNA from 1 species
GUAAGUGAAGGCAAACCUUCUGGUUUCCUACCAUCCCAGCCUCAGCUU